rnacentral:lncRNA from 1 species
UUUUAACCAUUAUGGGCCAGAAAUGUACCCAAGUUUGGAAUAGCACAUGCCAUGGCAUUAGGGGUAAGUUGUUUAAAUAACUAUUUUAUGCCUCGUUCACUGGUACAUUUAAUUCGAAUCGAAUGCGAAUCAAAUUUGCUAAUUGCUUUUACACACCCCACUUUUUUAAUUUGAAUUGAUUCGAAGUGGCUAUAUCGCAUUAUCUAAUUCGCAUUAGAAAAUGCAUUUUCGUUAAUACGAAUUAAAAGUUAAAGUCUUUUGGACAGUAAAGUGAAUUUGACGGGCUUUGCAAAUAGAAUUUGGACGUAAAAUGUUUCAAACGCGAAUUAAACUUAUUUGAAUCAGUUAAUGUGAAUCAAAUUCGAAUUAAGUGUGAACUUAGUAUAGAAAAAAUAUAUAUUUCUCCUCUUUGUGUCAGGAUUAAAAAAAAAAAUUAUUUGAUUAUUUUCUAUACUUUUUUUUUACCAAUUAUGAGUUUGAAAUUUUAAUGGAUUUUAAUGCAUUAUUUUAAAUUCUCAGCACCACAGUGGAUGAUUAAAACUUAACAAUUUGGUAAAAAAGUUAUUUUUUUUUAUAUUUUAUAUCGGUAGUGAUUGUACAGCAAGUAGAAAUCAUGAGACAUUAUUUGUAUUUUACUUAUUUUACUUCAGCUUGGACCAUGGUUAGCCGUAGAAGUACCAGACUUAAUACAAAAGGGAAUAAUUACUCACAAGGACAAUUUAACAAUAGGUGCUGCUUCUUGAUAUAUGUAAUUGUAGUAUACAAAUUUUGAAUAUUCAUGUUAUAGUUAUACACAAGAUUCCAGUCAUUUCUAUCAUAUUCUAUAUUGUUAUAAACUACAUCAAAUGUUAAUAUAAAUACUAGUCUCUUUGCCUUUUAAUUUAGGAAACUUUUAA